rnacentral:tRNA from 1 species
UGACGGGUAGCCGAAAGGUAAGGCAUCUGACUUUGAAUCAGAAGAUUGUGAGUUCGACCCUCACCCCGUCAU